ACGCCGCCUGAGCGGCGUCCGAGCUCCUGAACGGGGCCAAGCCGGGGGUGGUGCCGUGUCGGCGCAGCACCACCCCCGCGCC
rnacentral:ncRNA from 1 species